GCGGCUAUGGUUCAAUGGUAGAAUUUCUCCUUGCCAAGGAGAGGACAGGGGUCCGAUUCCCCUUAGCCGCU
rnacentral:tRNA from 1 species